rnacentral:rRNA from 1 species
UACGUAGGGUGCAAGCGUUAUCCGGAAUUAUUGGGCGUAAAGAGCUCGUAGGCGGUUUGUCGCGUCUGCUGUGAAAACUCGAGGCUCAACCUCGAGACGUCGGUUGAAACCGUUUGGCUAGAGUCCGGAAGAGGAGAGUGGAAUUCCCGGUGUAGCGGUGAAAUGCGCAGAUAUCGGGAAGAACACCCGUGGCGAAGGCGGCUCUCUGGGACGGUACUGACGCUGAGACGCGAAAAGCGUGGGGGAGCGAACAGG